UACGAGGGGGGCGAGCGUUGUUCGGAAUUAUUGGGCGUAAAGGGCGCGUAGGCGGUGCGGUAAGUCACCUGUGAAAUCUCUGGGCUUAACUCUGGGGCUGCUUCUGAAACUGCCGUGCUAGAGUGUGGGAGAGGCGCGUGGAAUUGCAGGUGUAGCGGUGAAAUGCGUAGAUAUCUGCAGGAACACCCGUGGCGAAAGCGGCGCGCUGGACCACUACUGACGCUGAGGAACGAAAGCUAGGGGAGCAAACAGG
rnacentral:rRNA from 1 species